AGGGAGCAUCGAUAGUUUUGAAUGUUUCCCUAUACAAGUCUUCCAAUACAAAAGCUUUUCUGCAAUUCCUGCGUGUAGUUUCUUAAGAAAGAUCUGCAUGUCUCAAAUUGCCAGAAACAGAU